AUGCAAGUCGAACGAAGUAGCAAUACUUAGUGGCAGACGGGUGAGUAACAUGUGGGUAUCUUCCCUUUGGCCCGGAAUAACACGAGGAAACUUGUGCUAAUACCGGAUAAGUCUUUACGGAGAAAGCUUUAUGCACCAUUGGAUGAGCCUGCAUUUGAUUAGUUUGUUGGUGGGGUAAUGGCCUACCAAGACUUUGAUCAAUAGCUGAUUUGAGAGGAUGAUCAGCCACAUUGGGACUGAGACACGGCCCAAACUCCUACGGGAGGCAGCAGUGGGGAAUCUUGCACAAUGGAGGAAACUCUGAUGCAGCGAUGCCGCGUGAGUGAAGAAGGCCUUUGGGUUGUAAAGCUCUUUCGUCGGGGAAGAAAAUGACUGUACCCGAAUAAGAAGGUCCGGCUAACUUCGUGCCAGCAGCCGCGGUAAUACGAAGGGACCUAGCGUAGUUCGGAAUUACUGGGCUUAAAGAGUUCGUAGGUUGUUGAAAAAGUUGGUGGUGAAAUCCCAGAGCUUAACUCUGGAACUGCCAUCAAAACUUUUCAGCUAGAGUUUGAUAGAGGAAAGCAGAAUUUCUAGUGUAGAGGUGAAAUUCGUAGAUAUUAGAAAGAAUACCAAUUGCGAAGGCAGCUUUCUGGAUCAUUACUGACACUGAGGAACGAAGGCAUGGGUAGCGAAGAGGAUUAGAUACCCUCGUAGUCCAUGCCGUAAACGAUGUGUGUUAGACGUUGGAAAUUUAUUUUCAGUGUCGCAGCGAAAGCGAUAAACACACCGCCUGGGGAGUACGACCGCAAGGUUAAAACUCAAAUGAAUUGACGGGGACCCGCACAAGUAGUGGAGCAUGUGGUUUAAUUCGAAGAUACGCGCAGAACCUUACCAACACUUGACAUGUUCGUCGCGACUUUAAGAGAUUAAAGUUUUCGGUUCGGCCGGACGAAACACAGGUGCUGCAUGGCUGUCGUCAGCUCGUG
rnacentral:rRNA from 1 species